GCCGGGGUGGCGAAAUUGGUAGACGCGCCAGACUCAAAAUCUGGUGGUGGUGACACCGUGCGAGUUCGAGUCUCGCCCUCGGCACCA
rnacentral:tRNA from 1 species